rnacentral:lncRNA from 1 species
CGCGAAGUUUCGUGAGCGUAUUAGAUAUAGACGAUGGGACAUGUUUUCAAGAUCUCGUAUCAUGUCUUGAGAUGUUAGUGGACCAGUAGGACUGGGUUUAGGGCAGGACCUAGGUUUACUUUCGGCUCUAAGGCUGUGCAACGACUGAUCGGCUCUCGUUUUGCCUGUGGACGAUUUCCACCUGGUUCUUUCCGAUUUAAAGUCCGCGACUUGGC